GUACACUCCUACGGGAGGCAGCAGUGGGGAAUUUUGGACAAUGGGCGAAAGCCUGAUCCAGCAAUGCCGCGUGAGUGAAGAAGGCCUUCGGGUUGUAAAGCUCUUUUGUCAGGGAAGAAACGGUGAAAGCUAAUAUCUUUUGCUAAUGACGGUACCUGAAGAAUAAGCACCGGCUAACUACGUGCCAGCAGCCGCGGUAAUACGUAGGGUGCAAGCGUUAAUCGGAAUUACUGGGCGUAAAGCGUGCGCAGGCGGUUUUGUAAGUCUGAUGUGAAAUCCCCGGGCUCAACCUGGGAAUUGCAUUGGAGACUGCAAGGCUAGAAUCUGGCAGAGGGGGGUAGAAUUCCACGUGUAGCAGUGAAAUGCGUAGAUAUGUGGAGGAACACCGAUGGCGAAGGCAGCCCCCUGGGUCAAGAUUGACGCUCAUGCACGAAAGCGUGGGGAGCAAACAGGAUUAGAAACCCGUGUAGUCCCAUGA
rnacentral:rRNA from 1 species